rnacentral:rRNA from 1 species
GUUGUUUUCUCGAAAAUUAAUUAAAAAAGGCAGGAUUUUGUGUUGUAUUGACUUUAUCAGCUUUCUGCACUCUUUUCUUGUCUUUUUUAAUGCACUUUUCGUUUAACAAGUCAACAUCAAUUUCUUUUGUUGUAAAAGGGUCAUUGGAAGGUGGCUUUCUUUUCGGAGAAAGUGUUUAUAGCCUUUGGCCUCUGCAAUCGGAGAGAUUGAGGUCUGCAGCGUAGAUCCUUCGGGGUUAGAUACAUUUGUGCUAAGUUAUAGCCUUUCAUAGACAACUUGUUGACUAUGAUCAGUCAUGUAGCUUACUCGCUUAUGCUAUUUUACCUAC